AUACGUAGGUGGCGAGCGUUGUCCGGAAUUAUUGGGCGUAAAGCGCGCGCAGGUGGUUCCUUAAGUCUGAUGUGAAAGCCCCCGGCUCAACCGGGGAGGGUCAUUGGAAACUGGGGAACUUGAGUGCAGAAGAGGAUAGUGGAAUUCCAAGUGUAGCGGUGAAAUGCGUAGAGAUUUGGAGGAACACCAGUGGCGAAGGCGACUGUCUGGUCUGUAACUGACACUGAGGCGCGAAAGCGUGGGGAGCAAACAGGAUUAGAUACCCUGGUAGUCCACGCCGUAAACGAUGAGUGCUAAGUGUUGGGGGGUUUCCGCCCCUCAGUGCUGCAGCUAACGCAUUAAGCACUCCGCCUGGGGAGUACGGUCGCAAGACUGAAACUCAAAUGAAUUGACGGGG
rnacentral:rRNA from 1 species